GUUUCUAUAGUCUAGUGGUUAUGACAUCUGCUUUACACGCAGAAGGUCCCCGGUUCGACCCCGGGUGGAAACA